rnacentral:misc_RNA from 1 species
GGAAGGAUCAUUAACACUAAUCCAAAAAUCUUAACCGAUCCCUUAGUGCAUCAAUAGUGAGUGCUAGCGAAAGCAGGCUGCUUCUAUUGGCGCAUCAUAAAUCUCUAAACAAAGGAGACUAACUAAGCCCAAUACCAAAACCAAAUUCUCAACGAUGGAUAUCUUGGUUCCCGUAACGAUGAAGAACGCAGCGAAGUGCGAUAAGCAGUGCGAAUUGCAGAACCGUGAGUCAUCAGAUUUUUGAACGCAAUUGGCGUCGGCUGGUAUCCCAGCCGGCAUGCUUGUUUCAGUGUCUCAUUAUCUCCUCACCCAAAUCUUAAUGCGAGAGAUACCCUUCUCUUGUCAAGUACGAAAGCGCUCUGAGCUUUGCAGGCGUGCUGUGCUUCGGCAUGGUUCGCACUCAAUGCAGCAGUCACAUUCUCCAAUGUGAACUCAUUGAGAGCUGAGUCAGUGCAGUCUAACUGCGUGCGCUUUGAUCAACAAACUCUUUCUGUAUCUGAAAUCAAGCAGGACCACCCGCUGAACUUAAGCAUAUCACUAAGCGGAGGAAAAGAAAUUAACUAAGAUUGCCCCAGUAACGGCGAGUGAAGCGGCAAAAGCCCAAACUGGAAAUCCCCGUACAUCCGUGCGGUGAAUUGUAAUCUAGAGGACUUAAUCUCAACUGGGCGCGACGCAGAACUUCCCAGGAAUGGGGGGCCAGAGAGGGUGACAGCCCCGUAUGUGGUGUCGCUCCCUAACGAGAUGGGUUCCAGGAGUCGGGUUGUUUUGAAUUGCAGCCCUAAUAUGGGGGAUAGACUUCCUCCAAGGCUAAAUAUUUACGGGAAACCGAUAGCGAACAAGUACUGUGAAGGAAAGAUGAAAAGAACUUUGAAAAGAGAGUUAGAAGACUUGAAAUCGUUGAGAAGGAAGCGGUAGAAAUUUAUUCUUCUGGUGUUAACAAAGUGUUCUCCAUUCGUAUUGUGGCCUCCCAGUACGUCAAAGGCUGGUGGCUUCACGUGCGGUUGAGAUUGCGGAGUUUGCACCGGUGAGGCAAGAUGGGGUUCCGCUCCCACAUAAGCUGUUCGAGCCUGGCUUUGCGGCAGUUCGUUCGUGCUCGUGGGCGCGGAGCCUGAGGAUGCCUUGUGCGAUCUUGCCAAAAUGGUUUUUACCGACCCGUCUUGAAACACGGACCAAGGAGUCUAACAUAUAUGCGAGUGUGCUGGCGGAAAAACCAACACGCGUAAUGAAAGUAACUGAUGCCAAGCGCAAGCAGCAGCAUCAACCGACCAUAUUCCUCUGGUUUAAGGUUUGAGUAUGAGCAUAUCUGUUAGGACCCGAAAGAUGGUGAACUAUGCCUGGGUAGGGUGAAGCCAGGGGAAACUCUGGUGGAGGCUCGUAGCGGUUCUGACGUGCAAAUCGAUCGUCAAACUUGGGUAUAGGGGCGAAAGACUAAUCGAACCAUCUAGUAGCUGGUUCCCUC